rnacentral:rRNA from 1 species
UACGUAGGGACCAAGCGUUGUUCGGAUUUACUGGGCGUAAAGGGCGCGUAGGCGGCGCAAUAAGUCAUUUGUGAAAUCUCCGGGCUUAACUCGGAGCGGCCAAGUGAUACUGUUGUGCUAGAGUGCAGAAAGGGCAAUCGGAAUUCUCGGUGUAGCGGUGAAAUGCGUAGAUAUCGAGAGGAACACCGGUGGCGAAGGCGGUUCUCUGGGCCUUACCUGACGCUGAGGAGCGAAAGCGUGGGGAGCGAACAGG